rnacentral:rRNA from 1 species
AUUGAACGCUGGCGGCAUGCCUUACACAUGCAAGUCGAACGGCAGCACGGGCUUCUGCCUCCCGUGGCGUGGCGAACGGGUGAGUGAUUCACCUGUACGUAACCACUAUAGGGGGCUAGACCGGCGACAGCCGGAUUAAUAUCGCACACGACCUGAUGGUGAAACCUGGGGUCCGAUAGGCCUCGCGCUAUUUGAGCGGCCGAUGUCGGAUUAGCUAGUUGGUGGGGUAAAGGCUUACCAAGGCGACGAUCCGUAGCUGGUCUGAGAGGACGACCAGCCACACUGGGACUGAGACACGGCCCAGACUCCUACGGGAGGCAGCAGUGGGGAAUUUUGGACAAUGGGGGAAAGCCUGAUCCAGCAAUGCCGCGUGCGUGAAGAAGGCCUUCGGGUUGUAAACCGCUUUUGUUCGGGAAGAAAUCCUGUGGGCUAAUACCCCGGGGGGAUGACGGUACCGGAAGAAUAAGCACCGGCUAACUACGUG